rnacentral:rRNA from 1 species
GGUCUUCGGGCGAUGUGUGGUGCUCCGAGGUAAAGAGAGGAGGCGAGGGAAUUUGGGAGGCGGCCGUCGGCGGCGGCGGGGAAGACGGCGGUACGCGGCGUAGCAGGCUCGAGAGGCCGGCGAGGUUUUCGAUUGGAGAGUAUGGUGGGUCAAAGGAGAGGGGCAGGUGGCGGAGGAGAGGUGGAGAAGGAGUAGGAGGAGGAGGCGGCAACGGCGGAGGAGUCUGAGGCUGAGGCGGCGGGUGCUGCGACUAAAAUUGUCGCGACUGAAGAGGGAGGGUGGGUGCCUGGGUAGGGGUCGGAGGCGGCGUCGGCAGGCGUUGGGGGAGAGGCGCGAAACAUUCCAGGCUAAGCUGGGGAGGGAGGCGCGUGCGCGGCUGCUCCGCGAGAAGCCCCUCUUCUUACGUCCCUACCCUCACCUCCUGCGCCACCUCCUUCUCGCCAGCGCCCUCCACCGCGAGCGCGACGAACUCCGGCGGGACCUCGGCGGGCUGCUCCUGCUCCUCCCCCCGGGGCUCCUCCAGUCCUUCCUCCUGGUCUACAGCGAGAGGCAGCCCUAGCAGCCACGCGGGUUGCGGCCGUUCAGCAGCAAGUGGUUGUGACGACAACCGAGUUUUCACCGACGUCAGAGGGCGUUCUGUUUAUGUUGUUGAGUACUUUAAAACCCGCACGACUGUUUUCCCUUUUGAGUCUAUACGAAAAAACUAUGGGGUCCAGAGUACAAUCCCGUGGUACCCAAAGGAGUAUCCCUACAGUGGCAAGCACACCUCUCACGGACCUCGAGUCAAUUGGAGAUACUAAAUGAUUAUCAUUACAAACUACAGUUAUCCGUAGACUUUUACGGACUAAGGGCUCAUUAUUUCAAUUAGUUUGCUAACCCACGGCUCCAACGUUUCCUUAAACUUCUAGAAGGACCUAAACUCGCCAUGAAGUACCAAAGACCUGAUUUUCCGUUUCCUCACUUCCUGGAACAUGUUAUGAACUACCUGGUCCGUCAUUCUUCUGGAACCCUGCUCCUUGGCCGCUGUUACUGACUUCUUCGUUACUUUUGGUAUAGUAACCUCCAACACGCUCUCUUCUACGACCUAGUAUAAGUGGUUCUUUAGGGUAUACAUUAACUCGUAGCCGACUACCUAACCUUCCUCGAUUUUCUGCCAAGAGAAUCCCACCUUGUUGUGAAAUAACGUGGUUUCGUUUCGGUUGCCGUCUAGGAACAACCUUUUUUACCGAGAUUCUAGCCCUCUUAGCCCUAACUUCGGUUACUUCUUAACGCCAGGUAUAAGUUCUCUCUACAGGUAGACUACGAGGUUCAAUCUCAACGAUUCUUCUCCUCAAGAACUUAUCUAGUCGUCUAGUACUAACAUCGCCGACAUACUAUCGACGACCAUACUCCAGACGAGACGCCACGCCCAAGUCUCUAUAAGCUAAUACACUCGGACACGAACACAACCAGCACAAGUUACUAUAACACUGCCGAAGAGGUGAACUUAGUUCCUGGACAUACGGAAUCGUAAGUUUAUACUCAUCGCUAAAGGUCAAUGUUCAAACGAGCUGUUAUAACUCAUCCUACAUUCGUGUAUAUUCCUGGUCAACGUUUCUCCGCCCGGACCUGUAGACUCAUACAACACUAUGUAUCUAUAUGCAUGGACGUGAUCCAAUAACACUAAGACAAA